rnacentral:rRNA from 1 species
UAGGGAAUCUUCGGCAAUGGACGAAAGUCUGACCGAGCAACGCCGCGUGAGUGAAGAAGGUUUUCGGAUCGUAAAACCCUGUUGUUAGAGAAGAACAAGGACGUUAGUAACUGAACGUCCCCUGACGGUAUCUAACCAGAAAGCCACGGCUAACUACGUGCCAGCAGCCGCGGUAAUACGUAGGUGGCAAGCGUUGUCCGGAUUUAUUGGGCGUAAAGCGAGCGCAGGCGGUUUCUUAAGUCUGAUGUGAAAGCCCCCGGCUCAACCGGGGAGGGUCAUUGGAAACUGGGAGACUUGAGUGGAGAAGAGGAGAGUGGAAUUCCAUGGGUAGCGGUGAAAUGCGUAGAUAUAUGGAGGAACACCAGUGGCGAAGGCGGCUCGCUGGUCUGUAACUGACGCUGAGGCUCGAAAGCGUGGGGAGCAAACAGG